rnacentral:rRNA from 1 species
GAAGUAAAAGUCGUAACAAGGUUUCCGUAGGUGAACCUGCGGAAGGAUCAUUAAUGAAUUGAAAGGGAGUUGAUGCUGGCCAGGUCUCUUGGCAUGUGCUCGCUUCCGACAAUCUUAUCCAUACACCUGUGCACACUGUGAGGGCACGAAAGUGCCCUUAUUUACUACAUACACCUAAUUUGGAAAUCGCACGUGACUUGCGUCGUAUGGCGCUUAAAUAAAUACAACUUUUAACAACGGAUCUCUUGGCUCUCGCAUCGAUGAAGAACGCAGCGAAAUGCGAUAAGUAAUGUGAAUUGCAGAAUUCAGUGAAUCAUCGAAUCUUUGAACGCACCUUGCGCUCCUUGGUAUUCCGAGGAGCACGCCUGCUCGAGUGUCGUGAAACUCUCAAGCUAGAUGCUUUAGUGUCAUCUGCUUGGUUAUUGGACUCUGCUGUCUCCUUGUCUGGAACGGCUGGUCUCAAAUGUAUUAGCUGGCUCUUGUUGUGGGAAUUGGUUCUACUCAGCGUGAUAAUCUAUGACCGCUGAGGACAUCUCUCGGGAUGGCCAAGCCUGCCUUGAACUGCUUCUAAGUCAUCAUUUCAUGAUAUUUUUUCAACUUGACCCUCGAAUCCCGG